AAGGCAUCAUAAAUGGUGAAAGAAAUUGGUAGGCAGGUAAGUAAUACUUUCUAUGAUAUCUAUUAAAAAGGAACCAAUAAUCUGUGCCUACCUCAUUAUUGUUUAUUCAUAUUAUUUCCUUAAAUGUACGUUGAAACCGAUAAUAAUGACAUGAGGAUAACGAUAGCUUUGGUCUUAACAAGCUGGCUCUAAUCUCCUCAAGUGGAGGUCACGUAGCAUUGAUUUAAACUAAUAUAAAAAGUACGAGGUGAUUAUUUCUUUAAGUCCAUUCAGAAAAAUAUACACAUGAGUUUUCUAGCCAUCGGAUCUAUCAGUUCCAGAUGGAUUAUCCUUUCAAUUAACUCUAAAGUUAACGUACCACCUCGCAACCCCACCCCACGUCUGUGCAGUUAACCGCAUUGCAAUCACACACGUAGGCCACCUCCCUAUGCCCGACCUCGCCUGUGGCCGCACGCUGCUUCCUCACCCCGCCACCGUGCGCUUCCUCUCCCUCGCCAGCAGCCACUGCCGCGCCUCUUCCUCGCCCGCCGCCGCGCGCUUCCUCUGCCCGCUGCCUUCGCCGCGCUACUCCCUCUCCAGCCCCAGCCGCGCCUCUCCCAUCAGCUAGGAAGCACCCACCCUCACACCCUGUUGUUUUCCUUGGAUCCGGUGGACCGAGCGUGCCGCUGUAACCAGUCCUCUUCUUCGUCGCUGGACUGGGAAAGGAAGGAGGUGGCGGAGAUUGCUUGCUAGGUGGGCCCCUUCACCUUCCCCGAGGUUGCCGCGCCAGAGACAAGAGGUUGUCUCAGAGUUCGAGCUGGAGGAGGAGGAUAUCCGGCAUCAGCGUCCUCAACACGCAGACGGCAACUCCCUCAGCUCCGGACUCCCUCAGAUGGCCGCAGUUUGGACAAGUUUCAACUGAACCAAUUCAAUGGACAACCUGUUGGAACCUCAAAACAAGAUUUCAGGUAGUGGAAGGAGGCAUACAAAGCUGCCGGUUCCUAAUUCUCUCACAUUGAAAUAGGCAUAUAUGUUUUAAGUAUAACCUGGGAAUUCCUUCGUAGUCAAGAACAUGUAACCAAUCUAUGCAGGUUUAAAUUUCUUUAAUAGUCAAGAACAUAGCUUGAUAGCCUGGUGCUACAGGGUGUAUGACUUAACUCUGCUGUACUGGAUGUAAUUUGCUUGACUUUAAUAUUAAUUGGAUGUUUUUUUUUUGGCCUACUAGAUGUAUUUUUUUAAAG
rnacentral:lncRNA from 1 species